GAGACAUAGGCACGAUGAUUACUACAACCACCCUUCCCUGGAAAGUUGCUUUUCCUUUGAUAAUGCUUGGAAGACCCAAUUCACACAAGUUGAAAAGUCUCAGGAAGAUUCCGUUGGAUAAUCUGAGGACAUGGUCUUGAAGAGAAUAUUCAGAGUUGGGAGGAUAAACAUAUCAUUUGAAAAUCAGAAAAUCUAAACCAGUUAAUUGUGUGGUUAGUCCUCACCAGAGACAAUUAUCAAGAGGAGGGCCGGGGAGACUGUUUCAAGAUGGCUGCUUGGUGCUACUCGUCAACUUGGGACCCUAUGUGUACACCAGCAUUUUCCUGAGUUCUCUAAUUGUUUGUAGUUUGUC
ensembl:lncRNA novel transcript